GCGCCCGUAGCUCAGCUGGAUAGAGCGUUGCCCUCCGGAGGCAGAGGUCUCAGGUUCGAAUCCUGUCGGGCGUACCA
rnacentral:tRNA from 1 species